GCCUAAAGGGGCCGUAGCUUGCCGAGUAAGUUCGUCGGGAAAUCUACUGGCUUAACCAGUAGGCGUCCGGCGAAAACUGCUCGGCUUGGGACCGGGAGACCAGAGGGGUACGUCCGGGGUAGGAGUGAAAUCCUGUAAUCCUGGACGGACCACCGGUGGCGAAAGCGCCUCUGGAGAACGGAUCCGACAGUGAGGGACGAAAGCUAGGGUCUCGAACCGGAUUAGAUACCCGGGUAGUCCUAGCCGUAAACGAUGCUCACUAGGUGUGGCACUGGCUACGAGCCAGUGCUGUGCCGUAGGGAAGCCGUGAAGUGAGCCGCCUGGGAAGUACGUCCGCAAGGAUGAAACUUAAAGGAAUUGGCGGGGGAGCACUACAACCGGAGGAGCCUGCGGUUUAAUUGGACUCAACGCCGGACAUCUCACCAGCUCCGACAGUGUGCAGUGACGGUCAGUGUGAUGAGCUUACCUGAGCCACUGAGAGGAGGUGCAUGGCCGCCGUCAGCUCGUACCGUGAGGCGCCCUGUUAAGUCAGGCAACGAGCGAGACCCGCACGCCUAAUUGCCAGCAACACCCUUGUGGUGGUUGGGUACAUUAGGUGGACUGCCGCUGCUAAAGCGGAGGAAGGAACGGGCAACGGUAGGUCAGUAUGCCCCGAAUGAGCUGGGCAACACGCGGGCUACAAUGGUCGAGACAGUGGGACGCCACCCCGAGAGGGGGCGCUAAUCUCCGAAACUCGAUCGUAGUUCGGAUUGCGGACUGAAACUCGUCCGCAUGAAGCUGGAUUCGGUAGUAAUCGCGUGUCAGAAGCGCGCGGUGAAUACGUCCCUGCUCCUUGUACGCACCGCCCGU
rnacentral:rRNA from 1 species